CCGCGAACACGAGAAUCACUACAAUCGUGUGCUAGAGCUCGGAGAGGAUCCUGCACUUCGUGGAUCCUCCAAAUUAGUUCGACACAAACCGUCUAGGUUUUCUGAAGCACGUCACCCACGUGUGCAAAACGCUCAUAUGCCUGAAGAACAGUCAGUUGCGCUCCCUACGAAGUCACGGCGCCAAUGAAGACACCGAAUACUGAUGCUGCCGUUAAGACAAUACUGAGUGGACGUACGGCUGGACGUAAUCUGAAAAUGGUGGCAAGAAAAGCAGACAGCGACAUCCACACUGACGAGCACAAAUGGCAUUUAAAUAUUUAUUUUUGAAAACGGCUUCACAGGUUCACCAAAUAAAUGGC
rnacentral:lncRNA from 1 species